rnacentral:tRNA from 1 species
GGGGCUGUAGCUCAUUGUUAGAGCACCCGCCUUGAAUGUGUGAGGCACUGGGUUUGAUCCUCAGCACCACA